UGCCUACGGGAAGCAGCAGUGAGGAAUAUUGGUCAAUGGGCGGGAGCCUGAACCAGCCAAGUCGCGUGAAGGAAGGAGGUACUUAGUAUUGUAAACUUCUUUUGUCGGGGAACAAAGGCGGAGACGCGUCUCCGGAUGAGUGUACCCGAAGAAAAAGCAUCGGCUAACUCCGUGCCAGCAGCCGCGGUAAUACGGAGGAUGCGAGCGUUAUCCGGAUUUAUUGGGUUUAAAGGGUGCGCAGGCGGGAGAUCAAGUCCGCGGUAAAAUGUGGGGGCUCAAACCCGGCCGGGCGGU
rnacentral:rRNA from 1 species